ACAAACUUGGUCAUUUAGAGGAAGUAAAAGUCGUAACAAGGUCUCCGUAGGUGAACCUGCGGAGGGAUCAUUACCGAGUGAGGGCCCGAGGGCCCGACCUCCAACCCUUUGUUGACCAACACCGUUGCCUCGGGGGUGACCCGGCCUCCGCGCCGGGGCCCUCGGUGGACCACUUCAACUCUGCAUCCGUACGUCAGAGUACUUUGCAAAUCAAUCAAAACUUUCAACAACGGAUCUCUUGGUUCUGGCAUCGAUGAAGAACGCAGC
rnacentral:misc_RNA from 1 species